GUGAGGAAUUUUGCGCAAUGGGGGCAACCCUGACGCAGCGACGCCGCGUGGAGGACGAAGUCUUUCGGGAUGUAAACUCCUGUCAGUGGGGACGAUAAUGACGGUACCCACAGAGGAAGCACCGGCUAACUCCGUGCCAGCAGCCGCGGUAAGACGGAGGGUGCAAGCGUUGUUCGGAAUUACUGGGCGUAAAGCGUAUGUAGGCGGCAAGUUAAGUUCAAUGUUAAAGCCCACGGCUCAACCGAGGAGAUGCAUUGAAUACUGGCUAGCUAGAGGGUGUUAGAGGAAGACGGAAUUCCCAGUGUAGCGGUGAAAUGCGUAGAUAUUGGGAGGAACAUCGGUAGCGAAAGCGGUCUUCUGGGACACACCUGACGCUGAGGUACGAAAGCGUGGGGAGCAAACGGGAUUAGAAACCCCGGUAGUCC
rnacentral:rRNA from 1 species